rnacentral:pre_miRNA from 1 species
GGGACACCCUUAUGGAGCAGGACUUGCUUCAGAGGGGUUUUGCUGCUCACUGAGUCUGCCCCUUGAGUGUGUAGCU